UACGUAGGGGGCAAGCGUUGUCCGGAAUCAUUGGGCGUAAAGCGCGUGUAGGCGGGUCACUAAGUCCGCUCUGAAAGCCCGGGGCUCAACCCUGGGAUGCCGGUGGAUACUGUCGAGCUUGAGUCCGGAAGAGGCGAGUGGAAUUCCUGGUGUAGCGGUGAAAUGCGCAGAUAUCAGGAGGAACACCAAUGGCGAAGGCAGCUCGCUGGGACGUGACUGACGCUGAGACGCGAAAGCGUGGGGAGCAAACAGG
rnacentral:rRNA from 1 species